AUCAGAUCGGCUUCAAAACUUGACGGGACUCUUGAAUAAUCUUGCUGAUUACAAGUUGUGCUAUUUAUGACUGUACGUUGAAGGGCGUGUCCCAGGUGUCUCGUCAAAGUUGGACAUUUUGAAUUCUGUGGUCUUUUUUUUUCAAAGUGAUGAAACACAAACACCCCUCCACUCCCACUAGCCACAUCUACAAACCAUAUUUCCUAGGGAGUAUUGUUCGUGGAGCAGAGUGGGAAACUGCUGGAAGUCAAGUGUUAAAUUGCAAGAUAAAUAGGGGACUUAUCAAAUCGACUUCAAAAUUGGACAGUCUUAUAAAAACAAAGUGUACAUGAAGAGUUGAGCUAUGUGUGACUGUACGUCAAACGGCGUGCCACUGACCCCUUGUCGAAUUCAGAUGAUUUUCCAUUAAGCGGUACUCAUAACUUCAGUGUGCAAUGUCCAAUUUCCAAUAAACUUCAUAUAUUCUGUAA